rnacentral:tRNA from 1 species
GGAAAGGUGGCAGAGUGGUCGAAUGCACCGGACUCGAAAUCCGGCGUAGGAUUAUGUCCUACCGUGAGUUCGAAUCUCACCCUUUCCGCCA